AUUGAACGCUGGCGGCAGGCCCAACACAUGCAAGUCGAGCGGAUGAAGGGAGCUUGCUCCUGGAUUCAGCGGCGGACGGGUGGGUAAUGCCUAGGAAUCUGCCUGGUAGUGGGGGAUAACGUCCGGAAACGGGCGCUAAUACCGCAUACGUCCUGAGGGAGAAAGUGGGGGAUCUUCGGACCUCACGCUAUCAGAUGAGCCUAGGUCGGAUUAGCUAGUUGGUGGGGUAAAGGCCUACCAAGGCGACGAUCCGUAACUGGUCUGAGAGGAUGAUCAGUCACACUGGAACUGAGACACGGUCCAGACUCCUACGGGAGGCAGCAGUGGGGAAUAUUGGACAAUGGGCGAAAGCCUGAUCCAGCCAUGCCGCGUGUGUGAAGAAGGUCUUCGGAUUGUAAAGCACUUUAAGUUGGGAGGAAGGGCAGUAAGUUAAUACCUUGCUGUUUUGACGUUACCAACAGAAUAAGCACCGGCUAACUUCGUG
rnacentral:rRNA from 1 species